CAUGUACUCCCUCCGUCCGAAAAUACUUGUCAUCAAAAUGGAUAAAAGGGAUGUAUCUAGACGUAUUUUAGUUUUAGAUACAUCUCUUUUCAUCCAUUUUGAUGACAAGUAUUUCCGGACGGAGGGAGUAUAUU
rnacentral:pre_miRNA from 1 species